GACGAACGCUGGCGGCGUGCUUAACACAUGCAAGUCGAACGGAUCACGAUGAUUUCGGUUGUUGUGGUGAGUGGCGAACGGGUGAGUAACACGUGAGUAACCUGCCCCGGACUCUGGGAUAACGCUUCGAAAGGGGUGCUAAUACCGGAUAUUGAAUUCCUGCUGCUUGGUGGGGGUUUUGAAAAGAUUUUUUUGGUUCGGGAUGGGCUCGCGGCCUAUCAGCUUGUUGGUGGGGUGAUGGCCUACCAAGGCUUCGACGGGUAGCCGGCCUGAGAGGGCGACCGGCCACACUGGGACUGAGAUACGGCCCAGACUCCUACGGGAGCAGCAGUGGGGAAUAUUGCACAAUGGGCGAAAGCCUGAUGCAGCAACGCCGCGUGCGGGAUGACGGCCUUCGGUUGUAACCGCUUCAGCUCUGACGAAUUUGACGGUAGGAGC
rnacentral:rRNA from 1 species